GUCCGGGUUCGUGAAUCCUGACCCACCUGAAAUCUGAGCAGAAUAAACUGGUGAUUCAGAGGCGGCUCGAUACUAAACACUGAUGAUGUCUGAAUGACUAGUCCUCAAUUAUUUUACGUCAAAAAGAAGACGGCAAAGCUCUCCAAACAAGGAUUGUCGCCGGAAGCAGACGGCCUGCGUGUCAAGGGCCCCGGGCCAGAGGGGACACUCAUCAGACGUCCGCCUCCUCACUCAUUGCAGACAACCCCACCCGCAUCAUCAACAGUUGUCUCUGAUGCACUUUGGAAUCAACUGCCAUGCAGGUGUCUGAUUCACCCGGGGGCGGGGGCACAGCCUGUGGUGGGGGCGGGGGGUGGGGGAGGUGGGGGGGUGGGAGGUGGCUACAAAGAAAUUACUUUGACUAAGAAGCCCGAGCUAAGCAGACAGUUGCCACAGACGGUGGGGAGGGGAGGGGGCCUCAGUCUCAGCCCUGUUGACAUUUAGGGACAGAUAAUUCUGUGGGGGGGGGGGGGCUGACCUGUGCACUGUGGCGGGUUUAGCGGUCUCCCUGACCGCUACCCACUGGAGGCCCCCACCCCCAAGUGUGACAACUGAAGCAGCCUCCAGACCCUGCCAGAUGUCCCCUGGAGGCCGAGACGGGCCCCAGUCGAGAACCGGUGACUUAGAUGAUCGGCAUCUGCCCCCGAGACCUGCCAGAUCGUCCUGAGAACCAAAUGAAAGAGAGUACGGGAAAGUGAAACCACCCGGUAGAGCCUGCAGCCCCGGGGGCUCCGGGAGCCGCCUGCACGGGCCCAUCCCUGGGGAGAGGCCCACAUCCUGAGGCCCAGGCCGCCUCCCGCUGCGGCCCCCCCAGGAACCCGGCGGGUGAGGACGCAGGCAGCCGUGUGCUGGGGGGCUCCCCGAGGGGUUCUGGGCCACAGCAGCGUGGGGAACUCCGCUCUGAGCAGAUGUGGCGUUGACUCACGUGCGGACAAAGGCAGCAUUUGCACAUGGCCACCGAGGGCCGGCUAUGGUGGUCCGUGCUGGGCCGGGGGGGGAGACCCGCCAAGAUCCUGUUCUUGCCCUCCAGGGACUUCCGAUCCAGUUGGAAAGACUCCAGGACAGGCCACUGAGAAGAGCCCUCCUCGAGUUUGCACAGGGGAGAGGAAGGGGGGACACUUUCGAAGCAGAGAAACGCUUUCGUGGAGCCUGAUGAUGCCAGAGCCCGAGUUCGGGCCAAAAAGGUGGCCAAGAGUCUCAAAAUUGGAGAAAAGGCUGACACGUAAGGCAACACAAAACAGUGAAACAGCUAGAGGAUAUUGGGUAGCGGAAACCCCCAUCCCUGCGCCACCAGCCCGGUCAGCUCAGUCGGCAACGUCCGCUGGGCCGGCAGAGCCGAAAUGGCUCCUUCAGGCUACAGGGUGGGGAUGCUCCCAAGUCUUUAGACCAAAAGCGACAUCUUAGACUUCUAGACGCUUUCACACUGAGUGCUAGGUUUGUUUUUCUGACAUUUUAUGAAAAAUUGCAAAUAUAGGGCAAAUAUAGGGGUGGCUCAGUCAGUUAAGCGUCCGACUUGGGCUCAGGUGGAGAUCUCACGGUUGUGGGUUCGGGCCCUUCAUCGGGCUCUGUGCUGACAGAUUGGAGCCUGCUUCGGAUUCUUUCUCCCCCCCCCCCCCGCCCCUCCCCUGCUCGUGCUCUGUCUCUGUCUCUCAAAAAAUAAAAUAAAAGACGUUAAAAAAAAACA
ensembl:lncRNA